AGAGUUAAACAGUACGUGAAAUUGUUGAAAGGGAAACGAUUGAAGUCAGUCAUGCUAGUGAGGAAUCAACCUGGUGGAGCUUGCUCUUCCUUGUGUACUUUCUCGCUUGGCAGGUUAGCAUCAAUUUUGGUUGUCAUCAAAGAAUUGGGAGAAUGUGGCUUUUCUUCGGGAAAGUGUUAUAGACCCUGAUAGAUGUGGCGACUGGGAUUGAGGAUUGCAGCGGAUGCCUUUGGCUAGUCACCUGACUUCUGACGGUCACCUCGCUUUUAACAGCUUGCUGAUGAUUGUUGAGAUUUGGCAGUCUAGAAAUUAGAGUGAACGUAAAUUCGCUAAGGAUGCUGACGUAAUGGCUUUAAACGA
rnacentral:misc_RNA from 1 species